CUGUAGCCUAGCAUGUGUACAGGUGCUCUCAGCAGUUUGUUGUGUAAGGGGUGGAGCUAAGUAACAUCCACUGACAUGUCACUCAUAAAACCGCGUUUCAAAAACACUGAAACGUCCCUUUAAUGUUAGUUCAACGGGACCUGGAAGGCUGAGGUGUGGUUCAGACAAGUCCAAGCAUGCAGCGAUCGCAGCUGUGAGGACCUGCUUAAAUGAAGACCUGAGUGCGGAGGAUUAGAGGAUCUCGUCAUUUUAAGUAUUCGCAGAUAAAAGCAACAGAGCAGCAGCAGCGAUUACUUUAUUCUCCUCCUCUGUCAGCUGUAAUUAUAGAGCAGUCACAGCAGCAUCAAUCCUGGCCUCUCAGAAACACAUUUAAAAGCUCCACUGUAUCCAUAACUACCAUCCUGCAGACUGCAUGUGUCAGGAAUUAUAUAUGUGGUCUAGAUAAUGGUGCAAAGUACUGUUCAGACAGGCCAUCAGUCAUGGAGACAGACAGGUGGAGGUACGGGGGAGGCAAAGGCAGGUAGACGGUCCCGUCCGUAAAAGCAGCAGCAGCAGCAGCAGGAACACGAGGCGCUUUUGGAAAAGUUAAAAGAGAAAAAGCUAAUUAAUGUUAUCAGAGCGUCCCUGUGGUGGAGGAGCUGAAAUUAAAUUAAAUUAAAUCACUGUCUGUGAGGCUCCACUCACAGCUCACAGCUCUGCCACCUCAACAACACGCACUGAUACAGCCUCACAGGUGCAGCUCUACCUAAACAAGAGUGUGUGUGUGUGUGUGUGUGUGUGUGUGUGUGUGUGUGUGUGUGUGUGUGUGUGUGUGUGUGUGUGUGUGUGAAAGGAACAGAAAGCAAAGCAGGGAGAAGAAUAAUCAGACAGCUUGUGGAGGAAAGAAAAGUGUUUUCUGCAGGACAAAUAGUCAUCGCUCCGACAUAAUUAUAGAAAAAGAGUGUGUCUGUGCAGCUACCAGCAUGUCGUGUUUACUGUGUGUAUUUCUGUGUGUGUGUGUGUGUGUGUGUGUGUGUGUGUGUGUGUGUGUGUGUGUGAAAACAGGGCUUCACGUUGUGAGCGUUUUGCUGCUUGUUGUGUUAUGAUGAGCAGAUCGAUUCUCAUUGGCAACAGUGAUUGCAGCGAGUUUGAAUCGCCUGAAGGUAUUGAUCAGCAAUCAGAUGACCCCCCCGCACACACACACACACACACACACACACACACACACACACACACACACACACACACACACACACACACACACAGACACACGCUGAGCCUCCCUCAAACCCCACAGAGGUCACACCCCAUCAGAACCGCUCAGGACAGAUAUGAUAAUGUCUGUAAAUGGCUCUGAUUGUUCCAGAGGAAUCAUUAUAGUCUGUCCAUGUGAUUCUGGUCCAACUCAGAUCUACCCGCUCUGUGGAAACCGUCAUGGCACACCAGGUCGAACCCGCUUCUUCAAAAUAAUGAUGGUAAUAGAUGUACGGAUAAUAUUCAUGUGUUAUUUUUUAGAGCAAAAAAACGUUUAUCAACCAAACAGGUCAAACGUUCUGAUGGAGGGUAGGGUUGUCAAAAGUAUCAAUACUUACAUGCUGUAUCUGGAUACAAUACCAAUUUGCCUGAUUAUUGAUAUUAAUAAAAAUAUUUUUUAUGCCUUUUAAAGUUUUUGUCAUUUUUUUAUCCCUGGGUGGUCGAAAAUGGUAUCGAGUAUCAAGUAUUUUCCUGGGUACCAAUAUUGAGUUUGAAUUUUAGUAUUGUGACAACCCUAAACCUCAAUUUCCACAGCAUCAUGAACAGCUACAAAAAGGUCUUAUCCUCUGAUCUUAGCUAAUGGUAACCAUUCAAGUUAACGUGUCAAUUUUAUUUUGAAAAGAAGCCAGAUGUUUUAUUUUGUGUCUGUGCCCGACUUCCUUUCCAGCACGGGUUAAUCUGCGCUGAAUUUAUCCUGCAUGCUCGGGCGUCCGGAAAAUAUAGAACUCUUGUAAACAGCUGAGGAGUCCGGUGGUCUGCAGAGGAACGGAUAGAAGCCGGUGGAAAUUGACACGUUAACUUGAAUGGUUACGAUCAGCUACGAUUGGAGGAUAUGACCUUUCAUAGCCGUUGUGGAUGCAGUGGAAAUUGGGGGUUAAAGUCGACAUCAACCUCACAUGAUCUUUGAAUACAGACUUCUUUUACACUGACAUGAUUAUACUGUUCAUUGCUGAAAACGUCGAUCACAUGAGUGCUGACAUGUAUGUUAUAUGUUUUAGGAUGUAAACAUGAUGAAGCAGCAUCUGUCUGACCUGGCACAGUGGUUCUGCUCAAAGUGUUUUUUCUGCACAUGUAAGCGGUCUGAGUUCAUCUGCAUUUAGAUGAGAGAAACAAGAGCAGCAGAGCCAGGAGUCACUAAGUUCAUUACUGCGAGUUCAGACUGGUUCUUCCUCCAGAAAGUAUCGAGUGAUAAGACCCGACCGGUCCAAUCUGUGAGCUGACAUGUGACUCAGUCUGGACCCCGAGACCUCUUAAGACUCCUGCAGUAUUUGAAGGAGGGGUAGUCAGGAUCUGAGGAAGUUCCAGUUUUUAGGAGAAAUCUUGAAUGUAAACUCUACCCCUCCCAAACAGUUUUCCCCUCAGCUCCUCCUCUCCCCUCCCUCUCUGCUCCAGCAAGCCCCGCCCACAAACAGACGCUCCUGCUCGCUUGUAUCAUUCCAAUGAAAUUCAGAUAUAAUGCAGAUAAAUACUUCAUAUAAUUACAAAAGGGGGCCAGUCAAGGUGAAAGUAAAACGCAGUGGUGCUACUGUAGAUGCCAACAGACUACCAGCAAACACAAUGUUUGCAGGACUUCUACAACUAGGAUAAAGUGACAUAAUCCAGGACCAGAGGUCAACAGUUUAGCGGUGCUACAACAUGCUACAGCAGGUCCUGUUUGACAAGAAACACUUCUGUUACAGACACUUGGCUUACUUUGGUAAAGCAGUUUACCUGUCCAGCAGAAAGGUUACAGGGUCACCAAGAUCCCGAAGCGCCCCCCAUUGUUUAUGUUGACCCGUCUUUUUAGCUCUUGUCCGGUUCACCUCUGUUUUAAGUGCCUGUUAUUCCUCCAGAAUCUCCGGUAUUUACUUUGUUUUCUUGCUUGUGUUGGCAGUCGUGGCCAAAGGAGGAUUCAGACAAUUUUCCGAACUUUCUGGUCAUUCUACUGUCCGAUAUUGUAGCACUCUAACUUUGUUUGUGCUCGUGAACGACACGGGGGAGCAGCGUCUGCCUCACAAACAAUCAGGUUGGGCAGGCAGUGAGAUAUCGUGUUAGUCCCAAAUGUCAUAAAUAACUAAUAUUAACUGAUAUUAAAAGCUUUUUUUAUAAAUGCACCACAAAAAAAUAUGCGUCUUUAUCGGAUUCCUGCCUACCCCACCUUUAGGGGUCUGAGUGUUUGUUAAAGAGUCUAACCCCCAACUUUCACCGCAUCCGGAAUGGUUCCGAUCCGGACCAGCAGCAGAUUUUUGCCUUCCGCCAAUUCCUACUGGAUCCGUUUGUGAAGUGAAUUUCGUGGCAAAUUAAAGACAGUGUUGUGUUUUAUUUUGAAAAGAAGCCAGAUGUUUUAUUUUGUGUCUGUGCCCGACUUCCAUUCCAGCACAGGUUAAUCUGUGCUGAAUUUAUCCGGCAUGCUCCGGCGUCCGGGAAAAAUAGAACUCUUGCAGACAGCUGAGGAGUCUGGUGAUCUGCAGAAAAACUGAAAGAAGCCGGUGGAAAUUGACAUGUUAACUUGAAUGGUUACGAUCAGCUACGAUCGGAAAUUGGGGGUUAGAUACUCAGAUCUCAGCUGGGCUCAGACUGUAGAGACGUUUCCUCAUGUAACUAAGAUUUAGGACUUUUGUUUGUUUUAAAGUUAAUUGAUUUACUUCCACUGGGUCACUAGAUUACAUGAUUAGUCAAGAACAUGAUGGAGGGGUUAAUGUGACCCUGUGAUCCUAUAGGGGGGAGGUUAUUGGUGGAAUAAGUCGCCAGUAGGGUCUCUCCAAACACUGAAUUAGUCUUAAACCAAGAGUGUUUACUGCCGGCCAACUCUGAACAAACCCUCAGACGCUGACGGCGACUCUUUCUGCAGCAUUAGUGGUGCAGCGUUGUUUGCAGCAGAUUUAAUUAAAGUUGAGCAUCAUUUGAGGAUGUGAUGUUUCCAGCAGAACUGGGUCUCUGUAGCAGCGAAGCGCCCAGAGCUGAUUAAAACCUGAACAUCCGUCUGAGAACAGGAGUUUCUUUCUCAGCUGACUGUGACCUGGAGGCAGCUCGCUCUGCGCUCGGCUUUGUCUCCGAUUACUUCAUUAAUCUAUGCACACCUGUAUCACAUUCACACAUCAGGGACUAACAGCUGACUAAUCUCUGCACUGAGUGCUGUCUGUAGAUGUUUUACAGUAGAUGUCUCCCUCAGUUACUCUGGGCUUUGUUCAUUAAUAGAGACAUGAUUUUAUCUGCAGAUACUGAUCUGCUUGGAGCUCUCUGCAGGUCACAGAAGCAAAUCAAAGCUUGCUCAAAGUACAUCUAAAUUAAAUCUAAGAUUGAGAUCAAGUGAAACUCCAAACCCAAUUUUUUGCCACUUUUGACCAAACAUGAAGCGAAGUUUGGACGUUUUGAUCCGCCGCCGUUUUUCGGGGGUUUUAUCUGGUAAGAUAAGGACGGGGAAGUGAAGCAGAGCAGCUGCAUUAGUGUUUGUGUCUCUUUAUUCACGCCUCCAUUGUUUGUUUUUAAGCGAAGUGCCCUACUUUAUUCACAGUGACACGAACAUAGACGAAGACUUCUCCUGCAUAUUCAGCUCAUGCAAAAAUGGGCCAGUAGAUUUGCACAUUGUCACUCGCUGUCUGACUCCAGGGAAAAACGAUCACAUGACGACAACAUGAGUGAAAAAAAAGCGGUUCAGAUUCUGCAGCGAUACUAGGCCGUGGACUGAAAACUGAGAAAGUUCAUAUUUAUACAUCUUUAGAUUAUGCAACCAUUGCCAAGUCCACCCACAUAUGAAAAGUGGAAAAUUUCAUCUGACCGUGGCCGGAGAAGAAGAAGGAGGAAGCUUCAUUAUAGAGCUGAGUUUACAUGUCAAAGGAAAGAUGCAAAUGUUCUCUGUCCUAAAUAAAAACUCUCUCUCUCUCUCUCUCUGCAGAUCAGGGUCUUAUUCUCGGUCUGAGUUAGCAGACCGGUCUGAAACAUCUCAGAUGUUCAAUCUAAAAAUAUGAAAAAUAUUUUUGUUUUAAAUUAGAUGACAGCAAAACGUUUGAAUAACAUGCAAACAGGGUCAUGUUUCUCAUCGUGUCUCAUCAGCUCCUCUUUCAUCAACACUCUGUCAUCGUUAGUAAAUCCUCUUAGUCCACUUUAAACAGCCCACUGAGCAAGCAAUGGACGUCAAAAAAAGGAAGAUAUCACGUUGGUCCGUUCAGAACGUAAUCUGAACGUCUAUAUAACGUCCAUAUUCAGUUGAAACAUGACACUGAGUGAUGUUGUUGAGCCUGGUCCAAUUCUAGAUGUCAGCAGAUAGCCAGAACCAGUCAAGGAUAGAUGUUAAGACAGACCAUAUAAUGAACAUCUAUAUAACAUCGUUUCUAGGCCUAAAGCACACAAAAAAGCCAUUUAACAACAUCCAGGAGAUGCGUACAGAAAACUUUCAUUCUGGCCCCUCUCAAGACGUCGGUUACAUUGUUGUACAUUGUUGUGACAUCUAGGACAGAUGUUUUGUUUUGGUCCCUCUGAAACGUCUUAUGAAGGUGUGGAGAUGACGUCAUAACAACGUUCAGAAAAGACGUGAUCAAAACGUUCAUUCUGACCCCUCUAAAAACAUCUUCUCAGGGUUUUUAACGUUUUAUGAACCACUUUUUGUGCAGUGGGAGGCUCAGGUCCAGAGAAGUCUCUGGUGGUUCUGGAUCCUGUCUUUAUCUGGUCUACUCUUUCGUGGUUCAGUUUGAACCUUAUAUGAUUUCCUAUUCUUCACUGAAAGGACAACUGGACUCAAGUAAGUCCAGUUGUCCUUUCCGUGCAGUGAUUUUCACUCUAGAGUCAUGUGACUAAUUUGUUUGACCUGUUUGGUUGUUCCUCUAUUACCUGAGAUUUCCACUGUAUCCAGAACAACUCUGAUCCAGAACAGCAACGAAUUUCACUGUCUGCCAACCGUGUUUCAGGCGGAUUGGAUUUUACACCAUGCAAACGGGUGGAGACAAACAAGUGAAAGGUUUUUAGACGUUAUUUCACCCCGAUGACACCAUGGAUGAGGAGAUGCUGAUUCUAGAAGUCUAGAAGUAGAUUUCCUCCUCUGGACGGACACAAUCUACUGCUUAUAUGUCUAUGCGGCUGUCUUUGUAGAGACAACUCGUUAUCGCUUCAUUGAACGUGAAUUUGCGGGUAUUUGUGAGUUCUUGCAAUUCCUACUGCUCGUAAUUUGCCACGAAAUUCACCUCACAAACGGAUCUGGUAGGUACUGGCAGACGGCAAAAAUCGCUGAUGUUCUUGAUCUGAGCCGUUCGGGAUCGGAGCCGUUCCGGACGCGGUGGAGAUUCGGGGUAACUCUUCUAUGUAGUCGACCAAAAACUGAGAAAAGAUUUGUGUCUGCAAAACCGACACAGUUUCAGUUU